rnacentral:lncRNA from 1 species
UCCCAAGAAAGAAAAACCAUUUAUAUCAAUAAAAAAUUAAAUUCUAUUAAACAUCUAAUUAUUAACUUAUAUUAGGGAAACCACAUACACAAAAAGAUGGACGUCGGGGGUUGAAGAGUAGGGGCCCACGGUGGGUGGCUACAUGAGGGGUGCCGGCGAGUGAGGAUCCACUCUGGAGGGAGUAAUGCAGUAAGAGUGUCUUCUCGCUGCUCUGGUAAGCCAACGAGCUUUACAGCAUGCUGCAAAUUACAUCUUCCAUCUUCACAGGCGGAAGAAUAUUCUUGACGGCCUGCACUUUAGGGCUGGCCUAGCCGAAACGGCCUGCACUUCAGGGCGACCAAUUCCUCUUCCUACCUCCUUUGCACCCAGAUUGGCACACCGACAAGGGCCCACUGUGCCCCUCAUGUGCGCUCACGUGCCGCGGGUUGUCCUCGCGCUCCUAUUCCCCUUCCAAACCAUCUUUAUUGCCCCCACAAUGGGUCACAAGCUCGCGUGACUGAGCUCGGCAC